rnacentral:lncRNA from 1 species
GGAACUCAAGUGAACACUUGGCUCAAAAUCCAUUGCUGUUCUCUAGAAAUCCAGCCUAAUUCUCUUGGUUAAAGACGGUGUUUCCCUCUUGUUGCCCAGGCUGGAGUGCAAUGGCAUGAUCUCGGAUCACUGCAACCUCCACCUCCCUGGUUCAAGCGAUUCUCCUGCCUCAGCCUCCCGAGCAGCUGGGAUUACAGACAAAGUUUCACUCUUGUUGCCCAGGCUGGAGUGCAAUGGUGCGAUCUCGGCUCACUGCAACCUCCGCCUCCUGGAGGCGAUUCAAGCGAUUCUCCUGCCUCAGCCUCCCAAGUAGCUGGGAUUACAGGCAUGCACCACCACGCCCAGCUGCUGCCAAGGUGCUCGGUCCUUCCGAGGAAGCCAAGGCCGCGUUGCAGUGAGGCCCUCACUUCAUCCCGCGACUAGCACCACGUCCGGCAGUGCCAGCCCCACACUCGCCCGCGCCAUGGCCUCUGUCUCCGAGCUCGCCUGCAUCUACUAGGCGCUCAUUCUGCACGACGAUGAGGUGACCGUCACGGAGGAUAAGAUCAAUGCUCUCAUUAAAGCAGCUGGUGUAAAUAUUGAACCUUUUUGACCUGGCUUGUUUGCAAAGGCCUGGUCAAUGUCAACAUCGGGAGCCUCAUCUGCAGUGUAGAGGCUGGUGGAGCUGCUCCAGCUGAGGAGAAGAAAGUGGAAGCAAAGAAAGAAGAAUCCGAGGACGGUGAUGAUGACAUGCG